GGAGAGACACGGAGAGAUUUUGCUCUAUAAUAAGCUGCGGGUCAUAGAAGUCAACAUCAACAGGUCUGAUUAGCUAUUAUUCACAAGUUAUACAUCUAGAACCACUUUCUGGAUUCUGCAAUCAGGAUCUUAACAACGCCUCUGAAAGCAGCCAGUGACUGAGGAGAAGAAUGCCCACAAUGAGAUAGGAAUGAAGAUAUAACUCGCUUUGAGAACACAGCCAACCACCACAAGUUUUACAAAUCAGAGAAAGAUCUGAUAGUUAAAACAACCUAAAUCCUACCUACUGGUUGGAAAACAGGCUCCCAUACUUCACUGCGGAGAGUCCUCUUCAAAGAAUGAUGCUGCUGUCUAGGUGUUCAGGUGGCUUUCGGCUAUCCUACAGUAAGCUGUCAUGUACCUUAUGAUCACAAAUAGCUGCUAUCUGAC